rnacentral:rRNA from 1 species
GACGAACGCUGGCGGCGUGCCUAAUACAUGCAAGUAGAACGCUGAAGGAGGAGCUUGCUUCUCUGGAUGAGUUGCGAACGGGUGAGUAACGCGUAGGUAACCUGCCUGGUAGCGGGGGAUAACUAUUGGAAACGAUAGCUAAUACCGCAUAAUAGCAGUUGUUGCAUGACAACUGUUUGAAAGGUGCAAUUGCACCACUACCAGAUGGACCUGCGUUGUAUUAGCUAGUUGGUGGGGUAACGGCUCACCAAGGCGACGAUACAUAGCCGACCUGAGAGGGUGAUCGGCCACACUGGGACUGAGACACGGCCCAGACUCCUACGGGAGGCGGCAGUAGGGAAUCUUCGGCAAUGGACGGAAGUCUGACCGAGCAACGCCGCGUGAGUGAAGAAGGUUUUCGGAUCGUAAAGCUCUGUUGUAAGAGAAGAACGAGUGUGGGAGUGGAAAGUUCACACUGUGACGGUAUCUUACCAGAAAGGGACGGCUAACUACGUG